AUAUCAAUAAGCGGAGGAAAAGAAACUAACAAGGAUUCCCUUAGUAACGGCGAGUGAAGCGGGAAGAGCUCAAAUUUGGAAUCUGACAUUUCGGUGUCCGAAUUGUAAGCUAUAGAAGCGUUUUCGGUGGGCGUCGGGUAUAAGUCCUUUGGAACAGGGCAUCAUAGAGGGUGAGAAUCCCGUCUUUGACCCAGUACAGUCUACUAUGUGAUACGCUCUCAAAGAGUCGGUUUGUUUGGGAAUGCAGACCAAAAUGGGUGGUAAAUUCCAUCUAAAGCUAAAUAUAGGCGAGAGACCGAUAGCGAACAAGUACCGUGAGGGAAAGAUGAAAAGCACUUUGAAAAGAGAGUUAAACAGUAC
rnacentral:rRNA from 1 species